AACGCACGAGACCUGCGGACCUGCGGAGGGAUCAUUUCUGAGGGUAGUUAAUGAACUUGUGCGGGUCCGUGAUGGGCCUCACGAGUGGAUAACCUACACACUCACUCCGAUGGAACAUCGGUGGAACACGGCAUUGUCUGAUCUUUGGAUAAUUUGAUUGAUAAAACUUUCAACAACGGAUCUCU
rnacentral:misc_RNA from 1 species